GUGUAAGUGGUCUCAAUAAAUCAAGAUGCAGAUCUUCAGAGAUCAAAAUCUCACACACACUCGACCAUGCACAUAACACAAAAAUGAGCACUUUUAACGAGAAAAAGGAACAGACACAAGCUUUUUUUAUUUUAACAGGAGGAACAUACACAUGCUUACUUCCCAGUAUACAGGCUAGAAUUACAGAUAAUAGGCAAAAAGUAAACCUUACAUACAAUUCUUGCCCGCUUAGGCGCUCACAGUUCAUCUUUUGGCGGUUUCCUUGACUGGAAGCCAGAAUGCUUCCAGGGGAGCCCCAACAACGAACUAGAUCUCCAUCUAAAUCCCUGCUAGAGGGUAUUAUUUAUUGCUUCUUGGAUCUUGAAAGGAUUUAACUAAUGGGUCUCGUAACCUGAAACAGAUGAUUAAUUACAUCUGUGCAUUAACAACACGUCUUUCAAUUGACAGCUCUAUUCUUUCCUAUCAGCAAGCACUAAAGAGGGUGCUGACAUAAUUGACUAUCUAAUCCAAAUGACAAAGAUGAAGUUGCACCUCUGGUGGUCACAGCUAAUCUCCACCCAACAACCACAACAUCAGGAUGCUUCAUCAAUUAAUCAACUCAGAGCAACAACAAAGCUUCUUGCAAAUUUUCUCUUUGACCUUGCAAUACAAAUAAAACACAUAAUAGAGCGGGAGCUUUCUAAAAAUUAAAAGUUUUUUCAUACAAAAGAAACGAAAUACUACUUAUUCCCAAUCCCUCCCUCCCUCCCUCCCUCUCUUCUUUGUUUUGGACUUCUAAUCCAGUUGCAGCUAAAGUGUACAGUGAUUUUAGCAAAGAAAUCCAAAAGGAACUGCAAGCAAGAACAUGGGAAAAAGGCAUAUAAGAAUCUAGCUUCGCGAACAUUUCAUCCUAAAGGCAAAGAGUACGUAUUACCUGCAACUUUGUCUUCAAGAAUGCUGAAUACCUUGGUCGACUAGGAAGGUUUAAACAUCUCAAGCAAAACUGUAAAAGUCCAGUGUUAAUAAUGCGCAAGGAUAUCCCCACCUACCAAUUAACCAAAAAAUAGCCAAUUCAAAGGCCUUUCAUAAGUGAUGUGCUCGUGACGAAUAGACAGUUAUAAUUACUACACAUUAGGAUAUCCGAUGAUUUAAAAAAAAAAUAUGCCAAAGAAGAUAAUUACCGACCAAGUUUUAGAUGGACUUGUCAGUGAAAGCUAAAAGACAGUUGUUUUUAUGUCAACCCUCCCCAUCAGUAGUUUUGCUAUCAUCAUCAUUUCUAAUAUGGGACAAUUUACAAAAAUUCAGAAAGAAUUAUUGGACACAUGAAGACAUCAAGACGAGAGACCAUGCCAUUUUUGUAAUCUUUUUCUUGAAAACUCAACUAUCACAAAAUAACUUUGAAACUCGAAAUCAGUUUAAGACUGAAAUUUAAGUUCAAAUUUAUUCCCAGAAAGCUUCACCAACAUACAGUUACAGUGCUCAAACAAAAGUUAAACUGAGGUAUGGAGGAGGCUCAGAUUAUCGCCUAUUUAAUCAAAGAGCAGAGCUAAAACAUUCAUAGCUGCAUACAUGGUUGCCUCAUGAGAAGGGACAAUAUCCUUCACAGACCUUCCAAGUGCCAAGCCAAGAAUUAGCUCAAAAAUAUUGUUCAGUCUUUUAAAGAUAAUCUUCACUGCCUCAGAGAUUGUGGAUUCUCAAGAUUCAGAAAAUGGAAUCAAAAUUUGAGGAGAACACAUGAAACUUCUUUUCAAAAGUGGAAUAAGGCUUUGGACACUUAUAUUACGUGUAGCAUUUACUAGGAGGCCUUUUAGUAUAUUUCGAGAUUUGUAUGUCAGAACUUCUAGAGUUAGAGAGCCUCCAAUUAUCGAAUGUUGGAAUAAAAUAGGUCCAAACGAAGUAGAAAAAAUAGUGAGGAUUCAUAUAACCGACUACAACUAGCUUGAAAAUGAAGCAUGGUUGUUGUAUGAAGAGGGGGUAAUAACCUAGAGAAAUGUAAACAUGAAAAAAGAACCAGAAAAAAAAAUGUUGACAGAAGGUCCAAGGAAUUGAAAGCAACACAAAAAUGAGGCUCGGAUUUGUUUACAAGUAUCAAAAACCAAAGCUAAAAACCAAAAUUCCCCCUACCUUCCCCAGCCAAGCUAAGAAUCAGCACAAAUAUCUGAGAUUUCAAGCUUUCUGGAUAAGAUCAUCACAGCCUUGUUCACUAGGUUUAGGGUUUAGAGGGGAAUGAGCAGAGAGGUUCAUAUAGCCGACUCAAACUAUUCGGGAUAAGGGCAUAGUUGACUGAUUUAGCAUCAUCGUCAUCAUUGUUUUCAUUAACAUCGUCUGAUGCCAAGGCUGUUGAUAAAAAAGAAUCAAAGAAUUGAUAAGCUGUCAAACUACAAAGGAAUAGAGAAACCACCCAAGAAACUCCAGCAUUCUAUGAAUCAUAUGAAGCCUCAUUCUUUUAAGCACAAUCUAGGUAAUAGGAUAGGCUAAGAUUUUUCUUUUCUCAAACUAAAAAAAAAAGCUUUAAGAACUGUCAUGGCUGAGACAGAAAAGAAACAUGAAUGAUUUUUUUCCACAAUAUUUCAGACCCAUAUGAGUUACCACGCCAAGAUCCAGUUUUUUCAGCUCAAGAGAAAAAUGUUUGAUUCAUCUGCACAAACAACACCAACUAUGCUUCAAUCCCACACAGGUUGGGGUCGACGAUAUGAAUCCUCACUUCUUUCUUUAAACUUAACUCAUAACAUCAUCAUACCAAAAUAAAAUAAAAGAGAAAAUCUUUAUAGUCUCACUGCUCAUAAAUGGAACAGGAGUAACAAGAAAAGGAAAAAAGGGGUGGAGUGUAAUUUCACCAAAAGUAUGUAUUUGCAUAACAACAACAACAUACCCAGUCUUAUCCCACACCAUGGGGUCUGGAGAGGGUAGUGUGCAAUUAUUUUAAACAAAAGUGUGUGCAUAUUAAAAAUAAUUUCUUUUGAGUAAUUAUCAACAUUGGAGAAUGACAGAAAGUGUCAAAACCACCCACGGAAUCUCCCCAGAGCUCUUUGCUUUCACCAAGUCCUAAAAUUAAACUAAUGGGUUUCACCAAGUGUUUAAGAACCUAAAACUAUUGAAUAUUGGAAUGAAAGGGGCCCAUAUGGAGCAGAAUGGCUAGCGAGUAUUCAUAUAUCUGACUGUAAAAUGAGGUUAUGAGCUCAAAUUUUUGCCUAUGUAAUCAAGGAGCAGAGGGAAAACCAAAAACCAAAUCACAAUAAUGGGGUAGGCUCAGAUUCGCCUUCUCUCAGACAAAAAUCAAAAAGCUUUGAAAAAUCCGCCAUGGCUGCAAGCAAAAGUUAGCCUUAUGAUACAGAUUAAGAAGCACCAAAAAUGGUACUUUCCCCAUAUCUAAUAGACUCAUCUGAGCUGCCACACCAAGAAACAGUUUUAUCAGCUCCAUAGAAUUAUAUGUCUGAUUCAUCUUCCGCAGAAGAUAAAAUCUUCAUAGCCUAAUGGACCAAAGAGAGUAACAAGAAAAGGAAAAGAGAGAGGUCAUGUGUAAUUUCACCAAAAGGAUGGUUUUGCAAUAGGAAAUUUUUUUCAUUAGAGUGAUCAUUGGCAGAGAAUCUUUCACCACAGCCUCAGACUCAAGCUAAUGAGAUUUUUGCCAUUUUCGUGCUAGAUUCUGAACCCAAAUUUCCAAAAGUACUAUGAGUUCAGUGCUAAGAAUUUUUAAGCUCAAAUCUUGAAUCUGCCUUUGACUAUAUCCAUUUUAUAAAGGGCAAAGCGAAAGUGAGGCUCAGAUCUGUGUUAUAGCGCAGGCAAAAAGACAUAUUCAACGACACCAAGGGAGAUCUGGGGAAUGCCCCGCCAAGAUACCGGUUGGAUAAUCUCAAAUACCCAAUUGAUAAGCUCAGAAGGAACUGAAAGGAUUGACAAAAUCAUCACAGCCUCUUUUUAGUCGCCGAUUAUAAUCACCGGCAGCAUUGAAUGCUCUGGCUGAAGCAUAAACGAAAGAAAGAAAAGAAAAUGCAUACUGCAUCGAAGAUUCAAGUGAUCCUACUCGUGCAAAUCUCCCGAUGUAAACAGCAGUCCUAAAACUGGCCAUACCAUGCAAAAUAUUCCUGAAGAAAGGGCUGUUGAGAUUGUUUUGAGAAAUCAUAGGCUAAAGCAAAGAGAGGCAACCACCCUUCCACUAAAAAUCCCUAUUAACCUCUGUAGCCUCAUUCUCUCCCUUCUGAGCUUUUGCUUUGUUCCAUGUAAGCAAAAAAUUGCAGGUUCAACAAAUCCAAACAUUAAAUCAGGGAAAAGAUUAUCUUUUUUUCCUUUAAGUAAAAAGGGCUCAGAUGUGGAUUAUGAUAAAGCAAUCCAUGGCUGCAAAACACCGGUUGCAUGUGCGAGACAGAAGUCUCAGUCACAGGCCAUACCAGGCUGCCACGCCACAAUACGGUCGGGUCACCUCCAUGCCCGAAUUGGUUAGCUCACAUAGAGAAACAUCAUCAUCACUGCCUCUUUAUCGCACAACCAUCCACACUGAAUAAACAACACAAACAAACACAAAGUGAAGACAGAGAUGUCAGUGUAUGUUUUUUCAGUUUAUGCUUCUGCUUGUUUCCACAAGCAAAGGCUGUUAGUUUUUUGAUAAUGGAGGAAAAUCAAUGGUGAACAGAGAGGGGCAACCACCCUCUUUAAGAAAAUCCCAAUACUCUCUGUUUUGCCUCAUUUCUUUCUUGGCUAACCUUUUCCUUUCUAGGGAAAUUCUUUGGGGUUUUUUUUGCGACCUUACUUGAACAGGAUCAGUUCUAUAGGCUCGUACCACUGCUGUAUCCUUGAGUUCUAAGGAGAUAGGAAACCAAGUCUAAGUGGAUGAAAUGUGUCCAUGAGCCAGACCGUGAUUAACAUCUUUGGUGGCCCUUGGGCCUCUGAACAGUAGAGGAUCAUUCUCAGACCUCUCGUGGGUCUGGCGUGGUCAACUCUCAGACAGAGUAAAGACAACAACUUACAUAAGAAAUUCCUUGGUUUUCACCUCCGAAUUUCCCAGCUCGAAUGGGACAGGUAAGUUUCUUAAACCGAGACUUACACGAGCCUUUACGUUAAAAAGUGAGGGCUCGGAUUUACUAUAUCUUUUGACAAAGCAAAAAAGAAAGCAACCCCAACCAUGGCUGCAGACACCAAUUUGCUAUACAAAAGCCAUACUGGGUUGCCCCGCCAAGAUAGGGGUCUACCUUGAGCAAGCAUCAUUGCCUCUUUAUCCUCUUUAUGCAUAUUCCACCAACGUCAAAAAACAACACAAUACACACACAGAGGAAAGGCAAAUAUGUAGUAGUACUAGGAGGAGGAGUAUUGUUUAAUUAUAUUUUUUAUGUUUCUGUUGUUUCCAUGACAAGGGCUGUUGGUUUUUUGCGAAUAGAGGAAAAUUAACAGCAGAACAGAGAGGGGCAACCACCUUUUAAAAAAAGUCCCAAACUCUCGGUUUUGCUUCAUUUCUUUUUGGGCUGAUAACUUGUAGCAGAAAGUAGCACAUGUCACAUAUUCCCAACAUUACAACAACAGCAUACCCAGUGUAUAUCCCGUAUAUCCCGUAUAUCCCCACAGUGUGAGAUCUGGAGAGGGUAAUGAAUCCCAAAAAAGAUUCUGUUUCUUUUUUCUUUUCAGCAAAUGUGGCUCAGAUGUGUGUUAUUGAUAAGGCAAAAGAGAAGCCAGCCACGCCAUGGCUGCAAACACCGGUUGCAUAUCAGAGACAAGUCUCAAUCAUGUCAUACCGGGUUGCCAAGCCAAGAUACGGGUCGAGUCAUCGCCAUGCCCAAAUCGGAUAGCUCAGUCAAACCUCUUUAUAACAGUCUCAUUUAUUCCGAUAUUUUUUGGGUGCUAUAGUGAAGUAUUAUUAUAAAAGACAUACAUUAUAACAUAAUAUAAAGAGCCCGUUUGGAUUAGCUGAUUUGAAGUAGUUGAUAAGCAUUAGGUGCUGAAAACACUUUUAAGUGCUGAAACCGAUUUAAUAAAUAAGCAGUUACAUGUUUGGGUACAAGUGCUGGAAUUGAUAAUAAGUUGUUGCAGUAUUUGAUAAAAAAAUGUUGAUAAGCUCUUUUUCUGUUAAAAUAACUUAAAUAACCGUAGAAUUGUUUACGGUUAUAAGGGCGUAAUUUCUUCUAAAUUUUAGAUUCCAGAUCAAUUCAAAUUUUUAUGAUACAAAAUAUACAAACUAUUCUAUUUGUCAUUUUAUUUUAAAUACUAUUGUGCUUAGAUAAAGAUAAUUUUUAUGAUUAAGCAUAUAAUCAAAAGUUAUAAUAAAUAAUAAAUUGACAAAAGUUUUUCAGUAAAAAAUAAACCUAAAUAGGAUAAAUUAUUUGAAGAGAAAUAAACAAUGUCUUCAUAACCAGAACACUUAGAAAGCAAUACACCAAAAAUUUGAUACGUCCUCAUUUAUUACAUAAAGUUCAAAGAUUAAUACACAAUCACAUAGAUAUAAAUAUGCAAAGGAAUACAGAAUUUGCUUAUCUUAAAUAGUCAAUGGGAAUUGCAGACUUGAAGAGGUGAGUAAGGGGAGGGAUAUUAAGGUUGAAUACUUGAGGCAGUAAGUAUUGAUGUAGGAGUUUUGCUCUAAAAAAGAAUAUUUUAAGGAUAAAAUAGUAAAAAUCUUGGUCAAACUUAAAGUGCUUAUAAGCUAAAAAUUCAUAAGCUGGGGGUGACCAGCUUAUGGCUUAUUUUUGACUUAUAAGCACUUAGCUUAUACGCACUUUUAACUUUACCAAACACGUAGAUAAGCCGAAAAGUUAAGCUAGUUUGACCAGCUUAUAAGCUUAACCAAACACCCUCAAUAUUCGAUUCCGUCCCCAGACCCCACUAGUGGGAUUCUACUAGGUUGUUGUAGUUGUAUAAAACUCGGUUCCAAAAAAAUUGAUUUUUACAGUGAAGGGUUGUUAUAUAGAGAUGUUGUUAUAGAGAGAUCUAACUGUAGUAACAUCAUCAUCACUGCCUCUUUAUGUACCUUCCAUCCACACUCUAAAAACAAUACACACGGUCACACACACAGAGAAAAGACAGAGAUGCAAUGCAUAUAAGUUAAGUCCUUUUCCAGUUUCUGCUGUUCUCAUAAACAAAGGGCUGUUGGUUUGAUAAUGGAGGAAAAUCAAUGGUGGAACAUAGAGGGACAACCACUCUUUUAAAGAAAAAUCCCAAUACUCUCUGUUUUGCCUCAUUUCUUUCCUCUCUGGGCUAACCUUUGCCUUUUAUGGGGAAAUUCUUUGGUUUUUCACCUCCGAAUUUCCCAGCUUUCUUUCCCUCUUUUCUCUGUAUACAAAUUACCUAUGGGGUAGUGAGAGAGGAGGAAAAAAGAGAGAAGUACGAGAUAGUUUCUUAAAUCAAGAAUUACAUGGUCCUUAUGGUUAAAAAGUCUCUGGUUACGGUCUUAAAAUGAGACUUACAAGAGUCUUUUGGUUAAAAUAUCUCUCAAAAGAGAAUAACGACACAAUUGAAGAACAUGAAAUGGGUAUUGAGGGCUCAAAUUUGGCGUAUUUGAACAAAGCAAAAGAGAAAGUGAUGCCGCCAUGGCUGCAGGCACCAAUUUGCUAUAAGAAGCCAUACCAUACCGCCUCGCCAAGAUACGGGUUAGUAUUUUCUCAAUGCCGCGAUCAAACAUAGCCAAGAAAGGAAAGCAAUCAUCACAGCCCCUUUACAACAUCAGUAGCAGCAGCACAAAGAGAAGAAGAAGAAGAAGAAGAAGACGAAGAAGUUCAGGGGUGUGUUUGGAUGAAAGAUUUUCUUUUAUCUUUUUUCUUGUCUAUUUGAAAUGGCUGUUUCUUUUUGGUUAUCAAUGGAUAAAUCACGGGCAUAGCAGAGAGGGGCAACCACCCUUUACAAAAAAAUCCCAAUGUCUCUGAUGCCUCAUUCUCUAGGCUAUGCGCAACUCUUUGCUUUUCUGGUAAGAAACUCUGGGUAGGCUCAGUUUCUCUGUUUUCCAGACAACAAAAGAUCUUUGAAAACCGCCAUGGCUGCAAGCAUCAGUAAGCCUUGUGAGACAGAGAACAAACACCACAAAUGGAACUUCUCUCCCCAUAUCUCACAUACCCAUCUGAGCUGCCAAGCCAAGUUACAGUUUUCUUCAGCUCAAUAGAAAUAUAUGUUUCAUCUUCCACGGAAGAUAAAAUCUUCAUAGCUUCAACAACAACAACAAACCCAGUUGAAUCCCACAAGUGGGAUCUGGGUAGGGUAGUGUGCACGCAGAGCUUACCCUAUCUUGAGAAGGUAGAGAGACUGUUUCCGAAAAAGAAACAGGAAGUUACAGUAACAGGAAAAGGAAAAGAGGGAGUUCAUGUGAAAUCUUUUCACAAAAAGGGUGGUUUUGCAAUCAGAAAAAUUUAUCAGUGAUCAUCGGCAACCAAGAAUGACAGAAAGGGGCAAAACCACCCAUUGAAACUCCCCACAACUCUCUGCUUCACCGCAGCCGCAAACUUAAACUAAUGAGAUUUGCAAAAAAAAACUUACGCGGCAAAACAUAGACAGUGGCCUCAAAGCAUCCUAUUUGUACAAAUCACCCCUGCUUCGGUCGAGGAUCAGAUCUGUGUUAUAACUCAAGCAAAAGGAGAUCCGACGACGCCAUGGCUGCAAAAGACCACCAGAAAAUCUGGAGGCAUGCCAAGCCAAAAUACAGGCCAGAUAAUAUCAAAUGCUGAUUAAUAAGCUUAGAAAGAAUGGAAGAUUGACAAUCCUCAUCGCCUCUUUCAAGCCAUAGUCACCACCCUCAGCAUAAAUUGUCUCUAAGCCAAACUAACCAAUAAAAGCUUGUUUGGGUUGUUGUUACCCAUUGUAUUGCUAUUUUGGAAUUUGGAUAGGCCAAAAUAGCCAAAUACAUAGAUAGCCCCUUAAAACCCACCAGGGGAGACCUGGGAGCAUGCCCGCCAAGAUACAUGUCUAUAAUCCCAAUGGCCCGAUUAAUAUGAUAGAUUUACAAAAUUAUCAUCGCCCUUUCAAGCUGUCAAUCAUACUCCUCACGCCAGCAUAAUUUGUCCCUAAACCAAGAGAAUUCAUCAACUAUGAACUCACAGAAAGAGAACCCAAUCUUAGAGACUCCUGCAUUUUCCGAGUAACAAAAGCCUCAUUCUUUUUGCACUAUUAAGGCAACGGGAGGCUCAAAAUCCCACCUUUUUCAGACAAAAUCAAAAGAGAUUUAAGACCUGUCAUGGCUGCAAGCAACAGUUAGCCUUAUGAGACAAAAGAAGCACCAAAAAUGUUACUUUGCCCGCAAAUCUCACAGACCCAUCCGCGCUGCCAUGCCAAAGAUACAGUUUUUUCAGCUCAAGAGAAAAAUGUCUGAUUCAUCCUCCACAGAGGACUAAAAUCUUCAUAGCCUUAAAAUCUUCUUAGCCUCAUCCCUCAUUGCAUUGAAACAGAGAGAGUAACAAGAACAGGAAACUAGCAAGGUCAUUAUGUAAUUUCACAAAAAGGGUGGUUUUGUAAUUGGAAAAAUGUUUCAUUGGAGUUAUCAUUGGCAGAGGAGAAAGACAGAGAGGGGCAAAACCACCCAUUAAAACUCCCUACAGCUCUCUGCAUUCACCACAGCCUCAGACUUAAAACUAAUGAGACUUUCACAGUUUUUCGAGUUCUUUGCAUUUUGAAAAGCAUAACUAAAAGGUCCAUUCUGAUAACCAGUGAAACAAGAGAUUAGGCCUUUUUAGCUCCAUGCACGGACAAAACAGAGAAAACUAAAUUGUGAAUUUUGCAAUCCAUGCAGUCGAAUCCUUCUAUCAUCUAAAACAACAACAUCAACAACUACUACACCUCAUACCAAAUCGGUAUGAAUCCACCAUAUCCCAUUCCAAAAUUAGCCGAAUUUUCUAAAAUUGGCACAUACAGUUAAACCUCUAAUUUUUUGGCUAGUAUAGUGAAGUGUGAACAUAUAUUAUAACGUAGUGUUAAAAUCGGUUCCUAAAAAACUUGGCUCUUACAGCGAAUGAUUGUUAUACAGGGAUGUUGUUAUAGAGAGAUCCAACUAUAUAUCAAGGCUCAAGGCUCAGAUCUGUGUUAAACCAAAGGCAAAAGGAGAGUCCAACGACGCCAUGGCUGCAAAAACCCACCAGAGUAAACCUGAGGGCAUUACCCCGCCAAGAUACGGGUCGGGUUAUCUCAAAAUACCCCGAUUAAUUAAUAAGCUCAGUAGGGAAUGACAACAAUCAUCAUCGCCUCAUUUUAGCAGCCGAUUAUACUCACCGUCACCGCUUCCACCAGCUCCACCGGCAAGCAUAGAAUGCUCCGGCGAAAGCAUUAAAAAAAAGAAAAAGAAAAAAAGAGUGGAAGGGUAUAGAAAACCCUUAAUAAUAUAUAUAUAUAUAUAUAUAUAUAUAUAUA
rnacentral:lncRNA from 1 species